CAGCAAGUUCAGAGGAAGGUAGUCUUUUUACAGUGACAGAUUUUGCUACUUGGGGGCCAGCAUGGAGCUCAUCUUUGCAGAUCAGUUUUUUUCCAAAAAUCCAUGAACUUCUAAGUCACAUUUCAAAGGCGGUUUCCACCCAUUGCUUGUCCUACAUUCUGGUGCUUUGGACUCCUUCUUCUUUGUGGCAGCCCCUGUAUAUCAGGGUAUAUCAGGACAAAUUGGGAUUCAAUUGGAUGGAAGAUCAAGAGUUCAAGAAUUAUGGAUUCUAAAAUUCAUGAUGGUGGGACUUGAAUAAGAGAUAAGAACCA
rnacentral:lncRNA from 1 species